GACGAACGCUGGCGGCGUGCUUAACACAUGCAAGUCGAACGGAAAGGCCCUGCUUUUGUGGGGUGCUCGAGUGGCGAACGGGUGAGUAACACGUGAGUAACCUGCCCUUGACUUUGGGAUAACUUCAGGAAACUGGGGCUAAUACCGGAUAGGAGCUCCUGCUGCAUGGUGGGGGUUGGAAAGUUUCGGCGGUUGGGGAUGGACUCGCGGCUUAUCAGCUUGUUGGUGGGGUAGUGGCUUGCCAAGGCUUUGACGGGUAGCCGGCCUGAGAGGGUGACCGGCCACAUUGGGACUGAGAUACGGCCCAGACUCCUACGGGAGGCAGCAGUGGGGAAUAUUGCACAAUGGGCGGAAGCCUGAUGCAGCAACGCCGCGUGCGGGAUGAAGGCCUUCGGGUUGUAAACCGCUUUCGCCUGUGACGAAGCGUGAGUGACGGUAAUGGGUAAAGAAGCACCGGCUAACUACGUG
rnacentral:rRNA from 1 species